CCCCCGCCUGCUGCAGAUGUUUGGCAGGAGUCCGGGCGCGGGAGGCCAGGCGCUUCCAGCCCCCUGGCUACCAUGCUGCCACUGCCACCAGCCUCCCAGCUGUCUCUGAGCCAUGGGCUGGGGGCUGCAGAGACCUCGCACCAGGCUGCAGGGCCACGGUGAGCACAGGGAAUGUGAAACCAGUGGUGGGGACCACAAACUGCUGCUGGCUGGGCUUGUCCCAGAGCCGAUCAAGGAGCUUCUUCCAUGCAGAGUGCCAGAGACAGCAGCAAGGGACUUGGUGUGCAACGGGAGGCAAAAGCAAAACAAGCUCUGGCGGACGAGAGGCCCCAGCUCCCCUGGCGCCAGGCUUCCCCCACGCCGCCGCCUCCGCAGCUCAAGCAGACUUCGCUGCCCUGCCCCAGCCUGUGUGCUCCUGCAGGCGCUGCCCUGGUUUGAGGGCAGGCUCCCCGCUGAGAACGGUGCCCAGUGCCUUUUGAGGUGGGGACUCCCCUCCCUGAGUGCCCCCGAAUCCCCCAUCCCUUUUUUUCCCAGGCAAAGAUUUGCCCCCUGCAGAAAUGCCCCUGGCCCAUUGCUCCCCCACCCAAAGGCGCAGGGGCACCCAGUGCCCCACUGCUGCCAAGCAGGGGAGGGGAGACCAGUGGCUGCUCUCCCCUCCAGCCUGAGGAGCCCCUGCUGAGUGCUCUGACCCCGCAGGGAUUUGCUCCUCCCUGAGGCUGGGGAAGGACCAGCCCGCUGGCCAUGAUCUUUGCAAUGUGCUCCUGGAGACCCCACUGCAACCUGGAGCAUGGGGGGGCAGUUUGGGACCCCAUAAGCCUCCCUUUGGGGCCACAGGGCCCACAUUUGGGUCGUGUAUCAGCAGUUGCUCCAGGCAACACUUCUCCCACAGCACCCAAGAGGUUUGGGGUUGGCUCCUGCUGCACAAUUGCCUUUGGGGCUCCCCACGACCUUCCUGACGAGCCACCGGGUCUGCGAUGCCCUGUCCGGCAGAGAUAGGGCAGCUGAGCUGGGUGUCUGCAUCCACAGCAUGGCUUUCAUUGCUGCCCAGAGACAAGGUGAGAGCCAGCAUCCUGCAUCACCUCCUCCCCUCUGGAGCUGCCAGCAUCUGCCUCCCCCAGCAGCAGCCCUCGUGGGCCAGCAGCCUGCUCCCGCCGCGCUCCAGCACCCACCGGCACUGGCAGGGAAGCAUCCCGGCGGAUGCUGAAUCACCUCGGCACCCUCAUCGCGCCUGCCCUGCCGCAGCGUCGCCACUGCAGGACCUGCUCCCCAACAGGCAGGAAAAGGCAUUUUUUUCUUGGCAAAACACCACACAAACGCUGCCUCCGAGUUCCAGCACUGUUCAGGCACUGAAGCCAGGGCAGCGGGGGGACUUCUUCCUCUUGCUCAGCCCUGGUGGAGGAAUUUCCAACCUGACAGCGCACAUCAGUCUAAAUCCAUCCCCCCAUUUUCAUACUUCAAAAAUGUCCCAGCUUCUCUCUGCUCUCCCCCACUGCCAUUUUGCUUUGCGCAGUUUGUUGUUGUUGUCAUGAGCAAACCCGUCUUUCCAAGGCUUUGCAAUACCUUUCCUGGAAAUGUUUGCCAUGAGCCUGAAACUUCCCAGAAAACUCCUACAAUGAAACAAAACCUCUUGCAGCAUCCCCCAGCUGCUCAGGACAAGGGGCACAGGGAGGUGGGAUCAGCCACUGGGCAUGGCUGCAGGGCUGUGGUGGGGGGGUUGCAUGCUUUUCCUUGGGUGUUUUUCUCCAAACCACGCUUCCUUUUCAAACCA